AGAGUUUGAUCCUGGCUCAGGAUGAACGCUAGCGGCAGGCCUAAUACAUGCAAGUCGAGGGGUAACAGGGGAGCUUGCUCCUGCUGACGACCGGCAAACGGGUGAGGAACACGUACACAACCUUCCUUCUAGUGGAGGAUAGCCCAGGGAAACUUGGAUUAAUACUCCGUAAGAUGUUAGGGAGGCAUCUCCCAGACAUUAUAGUAGCGAUACGCUAGAAGACGGGUGUGCGUCUGAUUAGGUAGUUGGCGGGGUAACGGCCCACCAAGCCGACGAUCAGUAACUGGUGUGAGAGCACGACCAGUCACACGGGCACUGAGACACGGGCCCGACUCCUACGGGAGGCAGCAGUAAGGAAUAUUGGUCAAUGGACGAAAGUCUGAACCAGCCAUGCCGCGUGAAGGAUGAAGGUCCUCUGGAUUGUAAACUUCUUUUAUAUGGGACGAAAAAAGGGUUUUCUAACUCUACUGACGGUACCAUAUGAAUAAGCACCGGCUAACUCCGUGCCAGCAGCCGCGGUAAUACGGAGGGUGCAAGCGUUAUCCGGAUUUACUGGGUUUAAAGGGAGCGUAGGUGGGCUGUUAAGUCAGUGGUGAAAUCCCGGGGCUCAACCUCGGAACUGCCGUUGAUACUAUCAGUCUUGAAUAUUGUGGAGGCUAGCGGAAUAUGUCAUGUAGCGGUGAAAUGCUUAGAUAUGACAUAGAACACCGAUUGCGAAGGCAGCUGGCUACGCAUAUAUUGACACUGAGGCUCGAAAGCGUGGGUAGCAAACAGGAUUAGAUACCCUGGUAGUCCACGCCCUAAACGAUGGAUACUCGACAUUAGCGAUAUACUGUUAGUGUCUGAGCGAAAGCAUUAAGUAUCCCACCUGGGAAGUACGAUCGCAAGAUUGAAACUCAAAGGAAUUGACGG
rnacentral:rRNA from 1 species